rnacentral:rRNA from 1 species
AUGAACGCUGGCGGCGUGCCUAAUACAUGCAAGUCGAGCGAACAGACGAGGAGCUUGCUCCUCUGACGUUAGCGGCGUACGGGUGAGUAACACGUGGAUAACCUACCUAUAAGACUGGGAUAACUUCGGGAAACCGGAUCUAAUACCGGAUAAUAUAUUGAACCGCAUGGUUCAAUAGUGAAAUACGGUUUUGCUGUCACUUAUAGAUGGAUCCGCGCCGCAUUAGCUAGUUGGUAAGGUAACGGCCUACCAAGGCAACGAUGCGUAGCCGACCUGAGAGGGUGAUCAGCCACACUGGAACUGAGACACGGUCCAGACUCCUACGGGAGGCAGCAGUGGGGAAUCUUCCGCAAUGGGCGAAAGCCUGACGGAGCAACGCCGCGUGAGUGAUGAAGGUCUUCGGAUCGUAAAACUCUGUUAUUAGGGAAGAACAAAUGUGUAAGUAACUAUGCACGUCUUGACGGUACCUAAUCAGAAAGCCACGGCUAACUACGUG